rnacentral:rRNA from 1 species
UGGGGAAUAUUGGACAAUGGGCGAAAGCCUGAUCCAGCCAUGCCGCGUGAGUGAAGAAGGCCUUAGGGUUGUAAAGCUCUUUCAGCGGGGAAGAUAAUGACGGUACCCGCAGAAGAAGCCCCGGCUAACUCCGUGCCAGCAGCCGCGGUAAUACGGAGGGGGCUAGCGUUGUUCGGAAUUACUGGGCGUAAAGCGCGCGUAGGCGGACUUUCAAGUCAGGGGUGAAAUCCCGGGGCUUAACCUCGGAACUGCCUUUGAUACUGUUGGUCUUGAGUCCGGGAGAGGUGAGCGGAAUUCCUAGUGUAGAGGUGAAAUUCGUAGAUAUUAGGAAGAACACCAGUGGCGAAGGCGGCUCACUGGCCCGGUACUGACGCUGAGGCGCGAAAGCGUGGGGAGCAAACAGGAUUAGAUACCCCCGUAGUCC